rnacentral:lncRNA from 1 species
AUGCCGUUUAUGUCAUCACCGAGGAGAGGUGAAAUUGAUCCCUCCAUCACAUGGAUAAUACAUGCACACAAAAUCUCACAAUGACCACAACAGUUAUGUUUGUUAGGUGACCCACACUCACAAAUAUCUAUCUACGUCUAGACUAAGUUUCAAACUCUAUCCAUGUGUAGGUUCACUAUGCCAGCUGAAUUUCAACCACACACACACUCUCCUCCUCGAUUCAAACUAAACAAGAAGGCA